rnacentral:rRNA from 1 species
UACGUAGGGGGCAAGCGUUGUCCGGAUUUAUUGGGCGUAAAGAGCGUGUAGGCGGCCAUGUAGGUCCGUUGUGAAAACUCGAGGCUCAACCUCGAGACGCCGGUGGAAACCGUAAAGCUAGAGUCCGGAAGAGGAGAGUGGAAUUCCUGGUGUAGCGGUGAAAUGCGCAGAUAUCAGGAAGAACACCCGUGGCGAAGGCGGCUCUCUGGGACGGUACUGACGCUGAGACGCGAAAGCGUGGGGAGCGAACAGG